rnacentral:misc_RNA from 1 species
GAGAGAGAGAGAGAGAGAUGGAAGGAGCGACGCUAUCAAAACCGUUAAUCCUACCAGCUUUCCAGGCAGAAGAAGUCCAUUGUACUGGAAGAGCUUUUAGCUCCAGUUUGAGUGCAAGAGAGAAGAGGCUAGUCUGUGUGACCAGUGGGAAUUCUUGCUUGGGUUCUCAUAUAGUGAAGGAGCUCUUGGCUAACGGCUACCUUGUUCGAGUCACCAUUCAAAACCCAGGUUGGAAAAACAUAUAUUUUCCAAGGUUGUGCUUAGGAAUGGAUUGUAAAGAGGCGUUCCUUUUAUUGGUUUCUUGUAAUUCUUUUAUUAUCAAUUUUAACCAGAUGAACAGCAUGCAUUUUAUUUUCUUCUAUAUGUUCCUAUUUUGAUUUUAUUUCAACCAAUCUUUUGUUUUUACAUUAACAGUGGAUUUUGAAGACAUUAAGGAACUAAUGAAAGAUGAAGAGAUAAACCAACUAGAAAGUGUUGUGGUAGCAAAGAUGCAAGAUUUGGAAAGUCUUUGUGAUGCAUUUAGAGGUUGUCAUGCUAUUUUCCACACCUCAUCUUUCAUAGAUCCGCAUGGAGUUUCAGGUUAUUCAGAACAUAUGGCAUUCCUGGAGACUGAGGUUGCAAGGAAUGUUAUUAAAGCUUGCAGUGGGGCAGCAUACAUGAGGAGGUGUAUCUUCACUUCUUCUCUUCUUGCAUCAAUCUGGAGUGAUGACAAUCUAGACAGAACUAUUGAUGAGGGUUGUUGGAGCAACGAGGAAUUCUGCAGAGAAAACAAGCUUUGGCUUGCCUUGGGGAAGACGACCGCAGAGAAGGCUGCUUGGGGGAAGUCAAAGGAAUUGAAAGUGAAGCUUGUAACAGUCUGCCCUGGCCUUCUUAUGGCUCCUUCGUUCCCCUAUGCUCACAAAGACACUUCUCUACCAUAUCUUAAAGGGGGCUCGGUCAUGCUACAACGAGGCAUACUAGCAACUGGAGAUGUGAAUAAGGUUGCAGACGCACACGUCCGCGUUUAUGAAGCUAUGGAUGAUGGAGCUUUUGGGCGAUAUCUUUGCUUUGAUAAGGUAGUGGAAAGAUUGGAUGAGGGCAUGCAGCUGGAAAAUGAAUUGAAGAGGCAUGGACUGCGGCCUGGAAGUGUGGUCUCAGCGGAAGAAACACGAGAAGUACACAGCAAGCUUUGUAAUUCAAAGCUAGCCAAAUUGUUACUUGAAAGCUCACAAGGCAAAUCUUGCAGACAGUGACCCAUUUGUCCAUCAUGGAUGAUAUAUGCCUUUUGCGACGCUAAUUCAUGACCCUUGUUGGGCUUCCAAGAGACGUAAGAGCUUGCAACAACUCCCAUUAGUUUCUUCACUAGGAGGCCUCAAAUUCAAAUUAUGAGAGUGGGAAGUGAAACAAGUAAUGAGAAUUAAUGAAUACUUGUAAGCCAAUUAUGGUAUCUAUCAUAAUGGAGUGAAGUUCCCAUUCAUAAUUCUAUGAUGAAAAGAAGACCAAAUAUAUCAUUUCAUACUUGAAUUUAAAUCAAAU